AUGAAUCUUGUUUAUGUAGUACUAUCCAAUUGUAGAGAGAAGUGUUUACCUGCUUGUUUAUUAAUUUACAGUUGUGUUCCCCAGCUGCAAUCAGAGCAGUUUCUCUUUCAGAAGUUUAUUAAAAGCAAGCAUCAAAGAGAAGGUCUUCCACCAAGGGCUGGGAAAUGCAUAAAGCUCUUCCCUGUAGGAGGAGUGGUAUCUCCCAUAUGCAUCUGUAGAAAAUUGUUGGAAAGUGUUCUACAAAGACCAAGAGAAAUGUCAAAGGCAAGUGCAGAGAGUGAACAUGACUAUGUGGGAAGAAGAGUGAAGAUUCAUGCCCAGAAAACAUUAUUCUUACCUCACACCAGUUUUACUUCGUGUUACUUCGUUGAACAUGCUAGGAUGAGAUCAGCUAGCUGUACAGUGAGAUGUGACGAUCAGGAUAUUUACAGCAUGGGAUGUGACCUUCGGCUGCCCUGGGAAGAUAUCACGCUCUGAGCUGAACUUGGAAACUGAACCAGGAGGGUCAAGAGAAAGAGGAGCAACUCUCAAACCUGGUGUCAUUAGGUAGGAUAUGCAAAAGGAGCUUCCUAUGCUUUUUGCUGGGUGCCAACUCCUCUUGCUGCAGUUGGAUAAUGUUCACUUGGAAAAGGAACAUGAAAAUUAAAGCUGCCAGAGGCGACUCUAAAGAGCAUAUGAUGGAAACAAAUUGAGUCACCACCAAUGUGGCUAACAUUGUUGGUGGAAACUGGGACACCCGCAUGAGCCAUUGUUCGCUGUACCUCGUCUGGUUUAUGUAGCUCACUGAGUUGAAAGCUGGAUCUGCAUUAACCUUGUGAUUUGAGGAGGAUUCAUGCAAUGUGGUUUCAAUUGUCUAUGGAUGCUUUCAGUUUGUACUGCGCACUGCCAGUAACAAUUGGUCCUACUGGUCUCCCACAUUUAUGGUGUUGUCUCAGCUCACCCUGCUGAAGCUGUGGUGAGGACUGUUUCCUGAUGUGGUCACAUUUAGUGGGCUGCUGAUCGGCAAGUCUGCUAGGAGAGGGUUUUUUUCACUCUUCCCUCUACCCCAAUAACAGCUGCUGCGCACAAGUUUUCCCUGAAUAAUUUUUGCUGUGGAAAAGGGCUUUUUUGUUUCUCAGGCUGGUCUCUGCCCUGACUUGGUCUGAAGCUGCCUUUGGAACUGUUGUGGACAUAUGAAGCCAUGAUUUAUUUGCUGGGGCUCUGCUCAUUUGAGGAUUUGUUCAGAGUGAGGCUCAUACUGGUUUUACCACCUAUUUCCGUUGCGCUCGUGAACACUGCUCCUGCCUGUGAACAUUUUUCUGUGGGCAUGGGGAUGAUGGGACCUACUAAAAUAGCGAGUGAUCACUUCAACCACCACCAAAUUACAGCCAUGCCUGAGGCAAAUUACAACAGCUUUCUGACAGUGUCACCAUGCUAUCUUUGUGACAGAGAUGGAGAUAAUGAGAAUUAAUUAAUCAGUCUUUGAUUAGAAAAAAGA
rnacentral:lncRNA from 1 species